AGGACGAACGCUGGCGGCGUGCUUAACACAUGCAAGUCGAGCGGAAAGGCCCUUCGGGGUACUCGAGCGGCGAACGGGUGAGUAACACGUGAGCAACCUGCCCUUAGCUCCGGGAUAGCUCCGGGAAACCGGAAUUAAUACCGGAUACGACCACGGCCGACAUCUGCUGUGGUGGAAAGGAUUCCGGCUAAGGAUGGGCUCGCGGCCUAUCAGCUAGUUGGUGGAGUAACGGCCCACCAAGGCGACGACGGGUAGCCGGCCUGAGAGGGCGACGGCCACGACGUCGGACUGAGACACGGCCCAGACUCCUACGGGAGGCAGCAGUGGGGAAUAUUGCGCAAUGGGCGAAAGCCUGACGCAGCGACGCCGCGUGGGGGAUGAAGGCCUUCGGGUUGUAAACCCCUUUCAGCAGGGACGAAGCGAAAGUGACGGUACCUGCAGAAGAAGCGCCGGCUAACUACGUGCCAGCAGCCGC
rnacentral:rRNA from 1 species